AUGGUCUAGUGGUAUGAUUCUCGCUUUGGGUGCGAGAGGUCCCGGGUUCAAUCCCCCGGU
rnacentral:tRNA from 1 species